rnacentral:lncRNA from 1 species
UUGAGGUGGUUAAGGCAUGCCUCAGUCAAGCUCCUCCUCGACUUCAUCUGCACCAUUACCAGGAUUUCCAUCAUUUGCCUCGGGGGCAUCCAGAUCAAAAAUCCAAUUUGCCUUAUCUCUCGGAUCUGUGCGGUUCCUGUUGGGCAUGAUGAUGCUCCGAACUACCUUGUUUCUAACAACAGGAUGGUACUUCCCGUCGUCUCUUGCUUUGAUCAGAUGUGAAGCACGACAGUAGUUGAUGUCGAGG